AGGGGCGUAAACACCUUUUAUGAGGAGAAAGUUUAUUGAUGUUACUCCAUGAAUAAGGGGCUCCCAAUUCUGUGCCAGCAGGAGCGGUAAUACAGAAGCCCCAAGCGUUACCCGGAUUUACUGGGCGUAAAGGAUGCGUAGGCGGUUAUAUUAGUCAGGUGUUAAAUCCUGGGGCUCAACCUCAGGCUCGCAUUUGAAACGGUAUAACUAGAAGGAAUGAGAGGUGAACAGAACUCACGGUGUAGGGGUGAAAUCCGUUGAUAUCGUGGGGAAUACCAAAUGCGAAGGCAGUUCACUGGCAUUUUCUUGACGCUGAGGCAUGAAAGCGUGGGUAGCGAACGGGAUUAGAUACCCCGGUAGUCCACGCCCUAAACGCUGUCUGCUAGCUAUGAGGAGAAUCGACCCUCCUCGUGGCGUAGGUAACCCGAUAAGCAGACCGCCUGGGUAGUACGAGCGCAAGCUUAAAACUCAAAGGAAUAGACGGGGGCUCGCACAAGCGGUGGAGCGCGUGGCUUAAUUCGUCGCUAAGCGAAAAACCUUACCGAGGCUAGAUAUCCUACUGCACGACCUGGGAAACCAGGUAAGCUUUCGAAGGUGUAGGACAGGUGAUGCAUGGCCGUCGUCAGUUCGUGGCUUGAGCUGUUCCCUUAAGUGGGGAAACGAACGCAACCCUCGUUGCCUGUUACAAGUGUCAGGCGAGACUGCUCCCUCACGGGAGAGGAAGGUGAGGAUGACGCCAGGUCAGCAUGUCCCUUGAUGCCUCGGGCUGCACACACGCUACAAUGGGGUGCACAACGGGACGCAAUAUCGUAAGAUGGAGCAAAUCCUUAUAAAACACCCCCCAGUUCGGAUUGUGGGCUGCAACUCGCCCAC
rnacentral:rRNA from 1 species